rnacentral:rRNA from 1 species
UACGUAGGGGGCAAGCGUUGUCCGGAUUUAUUGGGCGUAAAGAGCGUGUAGGCGGCUGGGUAGGUCCGCUGUGAAAACUCGAGGCUUAACCUCGAGACGUCGGUGGAAACCAUCCAGCUAGAGUCCGGAAGAGGAGAGUGGAAUUCCUGGUGUAGCGGUGAAAUGCGCAGAUAUCAGGAAGAACACCCGUGGCGAAAGCGGCUCUCUGGGAUGGUACUGACGCUGAGACGCGAAAGCGUGGGGAGCGAACAGG